rnacentral:rRNA from 1 species
GAUGAACGCUGGCGGCGUGCCUAAUACAUGCAAGUCGAGCGAACAGACGAGGAGCUUGCUCCUCUGACGUUAGCGGCGGACGGGUGAGUAACACGUGGAUAACCUACCUAUAAGACUGGGAUAACUUCGGGAAACCGGAGCUAAUACCGGAUAAUAUCUUGAACCGCAUGGUUCAAUAGUGAAAGACGGUUUUGCUGUCACUUAUAGAUGGAUCCGCGCCGCAUUAGCUAGUUGGUAAGGUAACGGCUUACCAAGGCAACGAUGCGUAGCCGACCUGAGGGGGUGAUCGGCCACACUGGAACUGAGACACGGUCCAGACUCCUACGGGAGGCAGCAGUAGGGAAUCUUCCGCAAUGGGCGAAAGCCUGACGGAGCAACGCCGCGUGAGUGAUGAAGGUCUUCGGAUCGUAAAACUCUGUUAUUAGGGAAGAACAAAUGUGUAAGUAACUAUGCACGUCUUGACGGUACCUAAUCAGAAAGCCACGGCUAACUACGUG